UGUAUUUCACUGACGAUUCGAGAAGGAAACAGAGAAAAACCUAUCUCGAAAAUCAACACAACUUCUACGGACUCGCUCUUUCGGAAGUGGGCCAAUACGGGCAACAGACGCAAAUCACGAAGCCCCUAAAGGCAAUCGCCCUCCCUCUUCUAUUCUAUUGCAGUUUGCAGGAAUGCCUCGCUUGAAAUGACGCAAAAUCCGGUCGAAUUCAUAGAAGCAGCGAGCCAGAAUUGUUUGUGUUGCGUGCACUCCUUAAACAGCAAGUUUUUUAUGGUUGGCUGGUUUCGUCCGCCUAAAGAGAACUUUUGGCCUGCCUCCGGAAUAGUAGGUGGGGAACGCUCCUUAUAUGGGUACUUUUUGCUGAUAAUCGAAGGUCGUGCUAUCAGUCACGCUUGACUACCCUAUACACGCCCCGGCAUCCGCAUAACAAGAAAUUCUACUAUAUUUUACGUUAUAGUCACCAGAAUUACCAAUUUAUUGCACAAUAAAAGACGCUGUACGUUUAUGCGAUCUCUAGAGCAACCAGAGUUGCUGAUAAGUUUCAAAAACAAAACUAGGGCGGGAUGUGCGUAUGUGUGUGAGCGAUAAGUACAACCUUGAAUUUUUGUUUGCUGACAGAGCUAUGUCGUUGAAGAUCCGCAGGCUGAAUGCGAGUUAACUUCAUGGUGUUGAUAACAUUGUUCGGUUUUGUUGAUAACACAGCGACCAUCUAUGAGCCCCACCGUUGAGUCUAAGAUAGUAUGAUAACGAACAGAACCUAAACCCAUUCAAGAUCUUCGGGCACGCGUCGUUCUUUCAACAUGUUCGUCUUGAUCUAGAAUUAAAGAAACAGAGCUUAAACAGAUACAGACAAUCAUUUCAAAUAGUUUACAUUGCGUUCACUAAUGACGGCAAUAAAACAGGAAUUUCACUUUAGUUUGGAGUCUGAAUUACUUUUCUGAAAUGGGCAAGUUAAGCUUUUUAAUUCGUUAGAUUCCAUUGUUGGCUUUAGGCGACAUAGGAUAUGACGGCAGCUUGGUUUUGAAUCAGCAAAACUUCUUCAAGUAGUUUGAUGUAAUCUAUUGCUCGUCUCUAGGAUAAUGAUCAAGGUGUACAGGUUAUGCAUAUAGUUUGCAGGUUCAUCCAUCCACAGACAUGUAGCCUACCAAAAUUGAGACCUUACUGGUACGCCGCGCUCUUGCAUCAUCGCAAAUUUUGGUUUUAUCUGUCGUGUUUCCUUCGUGUUCUCUGCCAAUCAGAUGUUUGAAAAAGAUAGAAUUUUUGACUUGACUAUACAACUCGAAUUUGAUCAAUUCAACAGCUCUUACAACAAUGGUGAAUAGGAUUUACUGACCCAAAUUCCGCUGGGACGACUUGGUGAAGUUUGGAAAAGGCAAUGUUGACCUAUUUUUUAGAAAAUUUUUUGUAUAUCGAACACGAUAGUCAUUUCUAGUUAAUUCGCUCACCGACUGAACGCGACGUCUCUCUCGUGCAUUUCUCCGCGCUACCUGGAACGCUGGACGAACACUAUGAGGAAUGUGUGGAAUGUGACGGAAACCGGAUUUCAUUUACGUAUGGAAACUUACGUCUCUGCUCCCGUGGCGCAAUUGUCGUCCAAGUAUUUCAUGACAGAUGUUCCGUUGCUGUAGGAACGGAUGAUUUCGUCGUUACCCAUUGUCGAAGAGGUCCAGGCCAUAGAAAAAACAUUUGCCUCUGUAAAUGUGGAAUUAGUUAUAGCGCUUCGCAUCGAAAAACCAAAUAAUGAAAACUUCUAUUUUGUAGUUUUUGAAAUAUCUAAAUUGUAAUUAAAUGGCUUUUACCGGAGA